AUUGAACGCUGGCGGCAGGCUUAACACAUGCAAGUCGAGCGGGGGAAGGUAGCUUGCUACCGGACCUAGCGACGGACGGGUGAGUAAUGCUUAGGAAUCUGCCUAUUAGUGGGGGACAACAUCUCGAAAGGGAUGCUAAUACCGCAUACGUCCUACGGGAGAAAGCAGGGGAUCUUCGGACCUUGCGCUAAUAGAUGAGCCUAAGUCGGAUUAGCUAGUUGGUGGGGUAAAGGCCUACCAAGGCGACGAUCUGUAGCGGGUCUGAGAGGAUGAUCCGCCACACUGGGACUGAGACACGGCCCAGACUCCUACGGGAGGCAGCAGUGGGGAAUAUUGGACAAUGGGGGGGACCCUGAUCCAGCCAUGCCGCGUGUGUGAAGAAGGCCUUAUGGUUGUAAAGCACUUUAAGCGAGGAGGAGGCUACUUUAGUUAAUACCUAGAGAUAGUGGACGUUACUCGCAGAAUAAGCACCGGCUAACUCUGUGCCAGCCGCCGCGGUAA
rnacentral:rRNA from 1 species